GACGAACGCUGGCGGCGUGCUUAACACAUGCAAGUCGAACGGAAAGGCCCUGCUUUUGUGGGGUGCUCGAGUGGCGAACGGGUGAGUAACACGUGAGUAACCUGCCCUUGACUUUGGGAUAACUUCAGGAAACUGGGGCUAAUACCGGAUAGGAGCUCCUGCUGCAUGGUGGGGGUUGGAAAGUUUCGGCGGUUGGGGAUGGACUCGCGGCUUAUCAGCUUGUUGGUGGGGUAGUGGCUUACCAAGGCUUUGACGGGUAGGCGGCCUGGGAGGGUGACCGGCCACAUUGGGACUGAGAUACGGCCCAGACUCCUACGGGCGGCAGCAGUGGGGAAUAUUGCGCAAUGGGCGGACGCCUGAUGCAGCAACGCCGCGUGCGGGAUGACGGCCUUCGGGUUGUAAACCGCUUUCGCCUGUGACGAAGCGUGAGUGACGGUAAUGGGUAAAGAAGCACCGGCUAACUACGUG
rnacentral:rRNA from 1 species